rnacentral:rRNA from 1 species
GACGGGGGGGGCAAGUGUUCUUCGGAAUGACUGGGGGUAAAGGGCACGUAGGCGGUGAAUCGGGUUGAAAGUGAAAGUCGCCAAAAAGUGGCGGAAUGCUCUCGAAACCAAUUCACUUGAGUGAGACAGAGGAGAGUGGAAUUUCGUGUGUAGGGGUGAAAUCCGUAAAUAUACGAAGGAACGCCAAAAGCGAAGGCAGCUCUCUGGGUCCCUACCGACGCUGGGGUGCGAAAGCAUGGGGAGCGAACAGG